UGGGGAUUAUUGCACAAUGGGCGCAAGCCUGAUGCAGCCAUGCCGCGUGUAUGAAGAAGGCCUUCGGGUUGUAAAGUACUUUCAGCGGGGAGGAAGGCGAUAAGGUUAAUAACCUUGUCGAUUGACGUUACCCGCAGAAGAAGCACCGGCUAACUCCGUGCCAGCAGCCGCGGUAAUACGGAGGGUGCAAGCGUUAAUCGGAAUUACUGGGCGUAAAGCGCACGCAGGCGGUCUGUCAAGUCGGAUGUGAAAUCCCCGGGCUCAACCUGGGAACUGCAUUCGAAACUGGCAGGCUAGAGUCUUGUAGAGGGGGGUAGAAUUCCAGGUGUAGCGGUGAAAUGCGUAGAGAUCUGGAGGAAUACCGGUGGCGAAGGCGGCCCCCUGGACAAAGACUGACGCUCAGGUGCGAAAGCGUGGGGAGCAAACA
rnacentral:rRNA from 1 species